rnacentral:rRNA from 1 species
UACUGGUUAUCUUGAGUUGUAUUGAAGUAGGCGGAAUAUGUAGUGUAGCGGUGAAAUGCAUAGAUAUUACAUAGAACACCAAUUGCGAAGGCAGCUUACUAAGUACUAACUGACGCUGAUGGACGAAAGCGUGGGUAGCGAACAGGAUUAGAUACCCUGGUAGUCCACGCCGUAAACGAUGGAUACUAGCUGUUCGGGGCCUUGAGCUCUGAGCGGCUAAGCGAAAGUGAUAAGUAUCCCACCUGGGGAGUACGUUCGCAAGAAUGAAACUCAAAGGAAUUGACGGGGGCCCGCACAAGCGGUGGAGCAUGUGGUUUAAUUCGAUGAUACGCGAGGAACCUUACCAGGGCUUAAAUGUAGUCUGACAGCUUUAGAGAUAGAGUUUUCUUCGGACAGAUUACAAGGUGCUGCAUGGUUGUCGUCAGCUCGUGCCGUGAGGUGUCAGGUUAAGUCCUAUAACGAGCGCAACCCCUGUCGUUAGUUGCCAGCAUGUCAUGAUGGGGACUCUAACGAGACUGCCGGUGCAAACCGCGAGGAAGGUGGGGAUGACGUCAAAUCAUCACGGCCCUUACGUCCUGGGCCACACACGUGCUACAAUGGCCGGUACAGAGAGCAGCCACGUCGCAAGGCGGAGCGAAUCUAUAAAACCGGUCACAGUUCGGAUC